GACAAUAGGAUAUACGCUCCCCUGACAGAGAGCAACAGAGAAUGGCGCCUUUGGGGGAGUUAAGAAAAAAGCUUUCUCCUUCAUUUUCCCAUCAAAGACCAAGAUAGACCCUUUCCCUUCCAAAAAAUGGCGUAGCUUUCACCCUCCUCUCUCCAGUUUCUCACCUCACCCACACACUAAUCUCUGAUGGAACAAAGCUAAAAAGAGUUCUGGAUUCAAAAUAAGAAAAAUCCGAGUUUCAGAUUUGAAAAAGAAAAAGAACAAAAAAAAUUCUCAUGAACAAAACAAAACAGAGCAAACGGUCAAAAAAGGAAUUUGGAGCUGUUGGACUGAGGAGCUGCUGUUUGUCGCUAUUCCCUCGCUGGUUGAGUCACUAUCUGUUGUUGUAGCUGAUUUUUCUCAGCUCAUUGAUUUCAGCUCUUGCUUGGCUUUCUAGUUGUUUUAAUUGUUGAUUAAGGUCAAUUCUAGUCCAAGUUUUACCUCGAUGCACAGGGUUCGAGAUGACCAAAAAAAUGAGUCUCAAUCCAGAAUAAAGAC